UACAGAGGUCUCGAGCGUUGUUCGGAUUCAUUGGGCGUAAAGGGCUCGUAGGCGGUUUGUCGCGUCGGGAGUGAAAUCCACUGGCUUAACUGGUGGCUUGCUUUCGAUACGGGCAGACUGGAGGUAUGCAGGGGAGAACGGAAUUCCUGGUGUAGCGGUGAAAUGCGCAGAUAUCAGGAGGAACACCGGUGGCGAAGGCGGUUCUCUGGGCAUGUCCUGACGCUGAGGAGCGAAAGCAUGGGGAGCGAACAGG
rnacentral:rRNA from 1 species